UACGUAGGGUGCAGGCGUUGUCCGGAAUUAUUGGGCGUAAAGAGCUCGUAGGCGGCUUGUCACGUCUGCUGUGAAAACUCGGGGCUCAACCCCGAGCCUGCAGUGGAUACGGGCUAGCUAGAGUGUGGUAGGGGAGACUGGAAUUCCUGGUGUAGCGGUGGAAUGCGCAGAUAUCAGGAGGAACACCGGUGGCGAAGGCGGGUCUCUGGGCAGUAACUGACGCUGAGGAGCGAAAGCGUGGGGAGCGAACAGG
rnacentral:rRNA from 1 species